rnacentral:rRNA from 1 species
UACGGAGGAUGCGAGCGUUAUCCGGAUUUAUUGGGUUUAAAGGGUGCGUAGGCGGAUCGUUAAGUCAGUGGUCAAAUUGAGGGGCUCAACCCCUUCCCGCCAUUGAAACUGGCGAUCUUGAGUGGAAGAGAAGUAUGCGGAAUGCGUGGUGUAGCGGUGAAAUGCAUAGAUAUCACGCAGAACCCCGAUUGCGAAGGCAGCAUGCUGGCUUCCGACUGACGCUGAAGCACGAAAGCGUGGGGAUCGAACAGG